rnacentral:snRNA from 1 species
GUGCUCGCUUCAGCAGCACAUAUACUAAAAUUGUAACGAUACAGACAAGGUUAGCAUGGCCCCUGUGUGAGGAUGACAUGCAAAUUCGUGAACCAUUCCAUAUUUUU